rnacentral:rRNA from 1 species
CGGCCGCGUCGACCUGACGCUGAGGCGACGAAAGCGGUGGGGAGACAAACGAGGAUUAGACUACCCUGGUAGUCCACGACCGUAAACGAUGAGUGACUAAGUGGUUUAGGGGGUUUCCCGUCCCCUUUAGGUGCUGCAGACUAACGCAUUAAGCACUCCNCCGUGGGGAGUACGGGCCACGAAGGCUAGAACUACAAAGGAAUUGACGGGGGCCCGCACAAGCGGUGGAGCAUGUGGUUUAAUUCGAAGCAACGCGAAGAACCUUACCAGGUCUUGACAUCCCGCUGCCCGCCUUAGAGAUAAGGCUUUCCCUUCGGGGACAGCGGUGACAGGUGGUGCAUGGUUGUCGUCAGCUCGUGUCGUGAGAUGUUGGGUUAAGUC